UACAGAGGGUGCAAGCGUUAAUCGGAAUUACUGGGCGUAAAGCGUGCGUAGUCGGUUAUUUAAGUCGGGUGUGAAACCUCCAGGCUCAACCUGGAGACGCCACCCGAUACUGCUGUGACUAGAGUCCGGUAGGGGCAGAGGGAAUUCCUGGUGUAGCGGUGAAAUGCGUAGAGAUCAGGAAGAACAUCGGUGGCGAAGGCGCUCUGCUGGACCAUAACUGACACUCAGGGACGAAAGCUAGGGGAGCGAAUGGG
rnacentral:rRNA from 1 species